UCGGAUAUGGUGUAACGGCUAACAUUGCCGCCUCUCAUGUGUCCGCGGCAGCUCGGGGUUCGAUUCCCCGUAUCCGAA
rnacentral:tRNA from 1 species